UACGGAGGGUGCAAGCGUUAUCCGGAUUCACUGGGUUUAAAGGGUGCGUAGGUGGGCAAGUAAGUCAGUGGUGAAAUCUUCGGGCUUAACCCGGAAACUGCCAUUGAUACUAUUUAUCUUGAAUACUUUGGAGGUAAGCGGAAUAUGUCAUGUAGCGAUGAAAUGCUUAGAUAUGACAUAGAACACCAAUUGCGAAGGCAGCUUACUACACAGUUAUUGACACUGAGGCACGAAAGCGUGGGGAUCAAACAGG
rnacentral:rRNA from 1 species